rnacentral:miRNA from 1 species
UAGGUUGGUGCAAAAGUAAUUGUGGUUUUUUGCCAUUAAAAGUAUGGCAAAAACCGCAAUUACUUUUGCACCAACCUAA